CAAUUUUUUUCACCAGAAUACCUUUUAUGUAUUGAUUAUUGGGAUAAAGUUAAGUUUGCAAUGAGUAGCGAGGAAAGUCUAGAUCUGCCACUGCUCAGUUUGGAAAGUGGCUAUAAAGUAGAACACUACCUUUUGAAGUUAACUUGUCAUUUGGAACAAAAGACUUUUUCUGGGGAAGUUUAUGUUUUUGUUAAAAGUACUUGUCCAGAGUCGGUAUUGAUUUUAGAUCUCAAGGAUUUAUUUAUCGACAAAGUGGAAGAAGUUGAUUGCAGCGAUGGGGAAAUUUUGAACUUUUUAAGCAGUUUUGAGAAAAGAAAGAGUUACAAGCAAUUUGGUUAUUGGACGUCAAAGAAAGCCAGGAGAGUACUGAACCCUAACUUUGAAAGUUGGUGUGUUAAAAUCACAACUCUUGAAAAAAGAGAAACAUUGGUUUGUCUUCACUACCAUACCAAACCAGAAGGAAGCUCAGUUUCCUGGAUUCUUGAUGAUGAUGGAGCAAAUUCUUGCUGCCUAACUACUGGGAGUCUAAUCAACAAUCGAUCUCUGAUGCCCAGUCAAGAUGCACCAGCUCUCAUGGCUACUUGGCAGUUAUUGCUGCAAGUCCCAAACGAUUUCAGUGCAACCACCACCGGUGACGAAACCGGGCUUCUUACUGAUGCGGGUACUUAUUUUUUCACGUCGAUGCUGCUACCGAUAUCUACUUUUGCUCUUGGAAUCGGGAAAUGGAAAUGUACUGACAUUCCUAUGAGUGUAGAAUGUGUUGUACCUGAUGAUCGAUUGAUAGAAUGUCGCCAUCCGCAUUAUCCGUGUCCGUUCGCCCAGAUUGAUGUUGUCGGUCCUCGGAUCUCUUGUCGAGUCUUCCAUUCAGAUUCCUUUGACCCAUCGAUUCUCAAGGAUUACAUCUCUUCUUCGAUUGAAACCAUUUAUCGCAUUCUGGGAAGGCAUGUUGUUCCGAAAUUGGAUUUUAUCAUCGUUCCACAAUCUGUGGCCUGUCUCGGAUUUGUGUCUCCGGGUCUGAUAUUGAUCUCGCCCACCAUUCUUUUCGGCCAAACACCGAUGCUGGCUAGACUUGGCCACGAAAUCAGUCACUCUUGGUUCGGCAUAAACAUUGGCCCGAAAAACUGGAACGAAGAGUGGAUAAGUGAAGGUUUCGCGACUUUUAUGGAGGAUGUCGUCGAUUUAAAGAUGUCAAAGUUUGCUCAUCGAAAUGAACUUUUGGCGUUGAAGGCAAUCAAUCGCUAUGAGAUCCUCAAGUCCGAUUGCCAAAAUGUCGAUCCUUCUCUGCAGCGGAUGAGCGCAUUCGAUCCGGAACUUAACGUUGUUAUCAAUGGCUUGAAUCGUGACAAAACAGUCUCGCAAAUUCCUUAUUUGAAGGGUUAUUUCUUUCUGAUUCAGCUGGUCAACAUUGUUGGCUUAGAUCCUCUCUUGAUGGCAUUGAAAUGCUUCGUCGAACAUUUUCACGGCUGUUUGGUGACUACAGCCGAAUGCGUCGAAUUCUUUUGCCUACGAUUCCAGCAAAAAGAGGAGAUACGGUACCAUGCGCAAAUGUGGCUCUACAGCUCCUCAUUGCCCAACAACGACCUCUUCGUUACCAAUCGCCUGGACUCCGAAGUGGCUCAGCACUUUGAGUAUUGGAAGCGGCGGCGCACACACAAUCCUCCCUCGUUCACGUUUCCCCAAUCCACACCUGACCAAGUCCUUGCUUUAUUGGAUCGGUUACUGGUAUUGGAAAGCAAAUUACUCUCGAAAAAUGUUUGCCGUUUCAUGGAUCAUUACAAGCCUCAUUUGAUGAAUGCGGAUGUCUACCACCGUGCUUGCGAAUUGAUUGUUGCUCAGCGGUGUACUCCGCUUUUACAUUUGGUUCAGCAGUUUCUACUUCAACAUCCGGCCAUGGGCGCUUAUCUUUAUGGAGAGCUCGUCCACUCGGAUCGUUCAGAGUUCCAUGCCGUUGCCAUGGAAACCUAUCGUCAAUUAGAAAACAAACUGGAUGUUAAUUUAAAAUCCAUUAUAAAUGGUUAGCGCUUGGUACAUGGACGACUCGGACGAGGAUCAGCGUUUGGAUCACCAUAAAAAUCCACCCCAGCCUGUAGACAUGAAAGAUGUCGUCAAUCUUACUGGAGUCCUCCACUGGAAGUUGAACGUUGACACGUACGAGGAAGACGGUAUGCUUGAUAAAAUCAAGAAAGAUAGAGGCUACAACUACGAGGAUGUGAUCGAGAUAUCACCCGAAAAGUUACCCAA